UCCUCCUCGUAAGGCCAAUGAAAAUUGAUAUCAUGUUUCUUGCCCCCGCCCGCAUGGGAUUUAUCUGCCACACGAAAAUUUUUCAUUCAUUAUUUUUGAAAAAUAGGCUUAACAAAACACCAAAUUGAUCUCCAGAUUAAAGUCUUAUUGCUACAUUCUGCAAGCGCAACUCAAAUUGUAUCUUUCUAAAGAUAUUACUCGCCAGAAUGCCUCUAUUUUUCAUGUCAGCCCUGGGAACGAGGAUGAUCUUGACAUGUGAUCAUUCUCUUCCGGUUUGCUUCCGAUUUCCUGUGUUGCGAAAGAAUCUGUUUGCGUGGUUUUACUGCUUUUUUGAAAAGAUAAAUCAGGCAUAUUCAUGUUUUAUAAUGAUCAUUUAUGUGUAG